UGGAUCAGUGAUAACAGCACAUUAUGAACCGAAGAUUAUGCUAAAUUCCGUUUUGGUGUCUGAGGUCAAAU
rnacentral:snoRNA from 1 species